rnacentral:rRNA from 1 species
CGGACGGGUGAGUAACACGUGGAUAACCUACCUAUAAGACUGGGAUAACUUCGGGAAACCGGAGCUAAUACCGGAUAAUAUAUUGAACCGCAUGGUUCAAUGGUGAAAGACGGUUUUGCUGUCACUUAUAGAUGGAUCCGCGCCGCAUUAGCUAGUUGGUAAGGUAACGGCUUACCAAGGCAACGAUGCGUAGCCGACCUGAGAGGGUGAUCGGCCACACUGGAACUGAGACACGGUCCAGACUCCUACGGGAGGCAGCAGCG